rnacentral:lncRNA from 1 species
ACAUUUUCAGAAUGCCAGAAACCUAGGGUUUCUGGCGCCGUUCCCUUGCUGCUACCCAUGUGAGCCUUCAGCGCGCACCACGCCCGAGGCCUGCCACCACCAGCCGGCCUUGCACCGAAACGGCAAGUUGACCUUGCCAUGUACCUGCAAACAAGUAGCAAAAAGAGAGAAAUGGAAGCAGACUAGAAAAACAGUAGCAAAAGAGGGAAUUUUCCUGCAUUUUUCAUCUUUUCUUUCGGCUAUAAAGCCAAGUAUGUGGUGAAAUGUAAAAUGGGGGGAUUUUUGUAAAAAAAAAAGACAACACAUUAGCAGAAAGAAAUAAAAGCAAACAAACAGAUUCCAGGUUGUUAUUUACAUCAGAUUCGCAUUUUCUUUUUUUAUUUAUUUUCUUUAUUUUGUAUAUCAAAUAGAAAACAAAAAAGGGACGAGAUGAAGCCUUACCUGCGCCGCGCCGGAGAGGAGGGAAGGCGAACGGAUUCCUUCUCUUCUUUUCGGUUUUGACUCGUUUUUUAAAGGAUUCGGCUUUGAAUCCGAGUUCUAAAGGGAGUGGGCUUCAAGCGGGGCUAAGAAAGGGCUAAGAAAGUGGUCGGUUCCUGGGGAGAGGGUGUUGAGAGAGUUCUGACUCUCUCUCUGUUUUUGUUGAAAAUGAAGAUGAAACUGUUUUUUAAUAUUUUUUUUUGGUAUUUAUAUUAAAUUUAAAACGGCACCGUUUUGGCCUUUAAGAUCCGCGCGCGACCCGACCCGCUCCAGGGGAUCCGCGCGUUUCUGACAAAUGGGCUAUUUUUGCCAUUAAUCCCUUUCAUUAUUGUUUUGUUUUAAUUUGAUCCUUCUGACUGUUUCUUCAUUAUUUAAAUUGGCCUCGCAAAUUUGUUGCAUGUCUCGAUUUAGUCUGGGCAUAAGUGGCGCGCUACAAGGCUGGGGCAUAUCGCCCGAUCAGUCCUUCACAUUUUGUGCGUGAUUCAUUAUAGCCCUCGAACCUUUUUAUUUUGCGAUUUGGCCACAAAAUUUUAUUUUUUGUUCAUUUUAGUCCACAUCUAAGCACCGUUUUGGGGCUUCCGGGUAUUUACCAUUUUGGUCCCCCUAUUUCGGCGCGCUACAUAAUUUAGUCCCUUUUGUUUUUUAUUUCGAUUUCGCCCCAUAUUUUAGACUUUACUUCGAUUUAGUCCCCUUUUAGCAUUUUUAUCAUUUUCUUUAUUAUUUUCAAUGUAUUAUCAUUUAUUAUUAUCGUCAUUCAUAAUAUUAUUUUUAUUAUUUUUAUUUAUCAUACUAUUAUUAUAUGAUAGUUUCGAUACAUACAUGUAUAAUAUUGUCAUUAUUAUUUCCCUUUUUCAGACUUAUAUAAUAUAUAUAAAUACCUUUUAUAUGUGUAUCUAUAUAACCCCUCUUUUUACGAAUAUAUGUAUACAUAUUUAUAUAUUUUAUAUGGUUUCUUUUAUAUAUAUAUGUAUGCCCUUUUUACGUAUUAAAAUAUAUAUUAUAUAUUAUCUUAUUUCAUUUUUAUAAUCCACUUAUAUUUUUUAUCUACAUACAUAUAUUUUUAUGUUUCGUAAUAUUUAUGUAUACCUUUCUUAUUAUAUAUAUACUCUAACCUUUGUAAAUACAUAUACAUAUGCACACAUAUUUUGGUUUGUGUCUCUUUACAUUUAAUUGUAUUUACUAUUUAUUUAUUUCAUUUUCUUUAUCAUUUGAGAAUGAAUGUUUUAAUCUAUUUGUUUAUAUACAUUGUUAUUUUAUAUGAUUGUAAGUAUGACUUUUAUUUAUUUUAUAUUGUUGUUAUUACUCGAUAUAACAAAAUUUGUUUUAAAAAUAUAUAUAUUUCGUGUUUAGAUUUGAAAAGAUCGUACCCUAACUCACUGGGUUUCGAUUUUUAUAAUAAAUCUAAAUGCACGAAUUUUUUUUAACCCAAGUUUUAAAUAAUCUCGGGAUUUUAAAAAGAAACACGUCCUAACUUACUGGUCGUGAUCACAUUUUCAAGCCUGAGAUGAUUAAAAUAUCUUUUCAACGAACAAAAUUUUGGAGUUUUUACGUAUCGGGAAUUCGAUACAUCGUGUCCUAACUUACUGGAUAUGAUAUUUUCUUUCUCGAAUAACGUGAAAUAUGCCCAUGUUCCUAAAAAUUUCCAACAUUUUAAUACGAGGAUUGUACUUUUAAAAUUCUUCAAAGCUCUCAAUUUUCAACACUAAGACACUAAUUAAUCAGCUAGGUACCAAUUUUGGGCGCAUUGAGGGUGCUAAUCAUUCCUCGUGCGUAAACGACUCCCGAACCCGUUUUUUGAAUUCCGUAGACCAAAAUCUUUGUUUUGAUAAAAAUUAAAUCGGUUAUUAAAAACAACUACUUUUCGAGGUGACCCGAUCACACCUCACAAAAAAAAGAUUGGUGGCGACUCCCGUUUUUAGUUUUCAUUUUCAAAACCCAAGUCGACCCCGUUUUUAAUCCAAAAAUGGUGUCAACAGCUUGGUGACUCCACUGGGGACAAAUACGAGAGUCAAGCCACGAGUUGAUUACCUUUUGUCUUUUUGUUGAAAAUUGAAAACUUGAUUUAAAUAUAUGAUCCUUUCAUUGCAUUCCAUUCGUUUUUAUCACAAUUUUCAUCAUUGUAAUUGUUGUAUUGAUUUAAAUUUUGGCAUCUUUUUUCACAUUGCAUUGCAUGACCGUUGGUCACACCCUUUUAAGUGGGAGUGAGAAACUACGCCUUCGUGAGGUUUUCACCUCCGCAUGGGAUAGUGAAUCGCUUUCGGGAUACAUCUGUACCUAUGUCUUCGUGAGAUUUUCAUCUCCGCAUGGCCAUAGGGAAAUGUAUUCCCCUGAACUGAACUCAGUCCACAUGAGCCUAUAAUGGGUGAGGAUUGAGGAAUCUGCUGGUUCGGGUACCCGUACUUUAGAGCCAAACCUCAUAUAGUGGACUUCAGAACACAUCCUAAGUAGAGCCACUCUAAAUCCCUAGUGACUACCCGACUAAGUACUUUUGUUUUCCUUACUUCUGUUUUGUACUAACCCCUCUUGUUGUGUUUUGAUUAUGAUUGCAUUGCAUUUGCAUCUUAGGAAAGAGAUAUUGAUUCAAGUUUGAUUACUAACUUAGAAAGCUUGUCGUGGAAUACGAAUUCCUUGAUAAAGUGGAAAACAAUACGACUGCCUGAAUAUAUUCUGAGAAACACAAGAAAGGAUGAUGAAAGAGUUCGUAACCUUUACUUCGUGGCCUAAGGAUUCAAGACGAUUAUCCAAGAGCCUUUGACAUUCCAACUCCUUUAAAGAAGCUGACGAGCCUUAUGAAGAUCGACAGAUGAUGGAUCGCGACCAAGAUCAAGAAAAGGAGCUAGUAGUGGCAUCUUUUGGAAAUUGGCGAGAUUAUCUCAAACUUGCGGAUGAAGAAAAAGAUCGAUGUUGCCUCUUGGAAUAUAAGGGCGAAGCCGUACAUGCCUCUGCUUUAUGUAAAGGAAUUUGCUUUCUAGAAAAGUUUUCUAAAUAUAAUUGAAUCAGAUUCAACGUCUCUUUAGGCAUUUAUUUCAUGCAUUUGCAUUACAUGCAUUAAAAUCCAUUAAAAGAGUCUAAUUGAAUAAAUUUAUUUCAGCUAACCUGGGAAACCAGCCAACCAAACACCCUUACGAUAUCCAAGUAAAGACUAGAGAAAUGGAACGAAGGUUGGAAAAAUUAGAGCGAAUGCAGAUUCAGAUGCAAGAGCAAUUGACUGAAUUUCAACAGGAGAUGAGAAAUCAGACGCUAGAAUUACGGAGAACUAUGAUAAACCAGUUCAACCGAUUGCUAGCUGGAAAGUCAAAAGAAGUGAAAGACUCAGUGGUUUACUUUGGGGUUGAUAAUGAGGAUCUUGCCUAUUCCUUAGAUUGUAUUCCGACAAGUGUCCAGGUCCAGCCAGAUGGGUGCCCGCAAGGAGCACUCUUUACUAUCGGAUCCCAACACUAUCAGACUGGUACAUCGACACCAAUGAAUUACUUGACAGGCUUAGGAUCCAACUUGAGGAACGAUUUAGUUAAUCCUGUUGCUAAUUUAGCUGAAAUAAAGCAGAUGAGGGUAGAGUACCCAGAUACUACAAAGUCCCCAAGGAAGAAGGGGAAUAAAAGGGAUAAUGUAGACGGAUAUAACAAGGGCCACUCAAAACCAAUCACUGUGGGUAGGCCAAAGACGGAGACCACCAGCAUCAGAGCCCUUUAAAGCAAGAACCUGGAGUGAAACCAAGUACUGAGAAGCUCCAGUUCACACAAAUUCCGAUGUCAUAUAAGGAGCUGUAUCAAAGCUUGUUCGAUGCGCAUGUUGUUACUCCUCGUUACUUGACCCCUUUACAACCUCCUUAUCCCAAAUGGUACGAUAUGAAAGCACAAUACGACUACCAUGCGGGAAUUACGGGGCAUUCAAUAGAGAAUUGCAUUACCUUCAAGAAGCUAGUCGAAAAAUUCAUCAACAUGGGUAUUGUCAAGUUGGGUGACUCAUCUAGUGCAGAAAGCUAUCUACCCAAUCAUAUUGACAACGGGAUGAAUGCAAUGUAUGAAGAAGUGUUGGCAAGUGUUCACACCAAUGGCAUAUAUGAGGACACAAUUGAAAAGGGAACUUGUUAAAUGACCGCCCUUAUAAAUUUGAGAGCGUUCUAAGCGAUUGGAUUGCGGAAGAAAUCCUUGUAGUCUUUAGAUCUUAUUUAGAGUAAUGUUCAGAAUAUUUUUGUUGUUUUUAGCCUAAAGCGAUAGAAAUUCCUUUGUGAAAUAGGCUAAUGUCUGAACGUCAUUAUUCUAAUAAAAUACAUCUUUGCAUUCCUUUUUGAGCCAAUGUUCUUUCAUUCUUUUUGAAUAAUUAUUUCUGAUUAUUUCAUUCUUUUAGAUUUUCUUCCACAUCAUUCAUUCAUAAUCAUAUUGUAUAAAUAAUUAUUCAUAAAUUUAUACUUUCUUUUGUAUAUUCUUUGGUACUUAUUAUGAGUCCUCAGAUAUCAAUGACAUGAGUGACACUGCUACAGACUCAGAUUUUCCUUUUGAGCGAGGCAUGUGUUUAGACGAAUCUCAUGACUUUGGAAAUGACAUAAAUUGUAGCCUAUCUCCGGACUUGUUGAGGAUCGUAGAACAAGAGGAUAAACAGAUCCUACCUCUCAAGGAAUCAUUAGAAUUUGUGAGCUUGGUGGAGACUAGAAUUGACCUAACCACAGAGACGAAGCAAGACAUUGCUGAGUUACCUCUAGAGUUCAAUGAUGUCUUUGUAUGAUCAUACCAGGGUAUGCCUCGAUUCUUAUAAUAAAAUCUGCACAACAGCACGAUGUCAGAAAUUUGCAGUAUGAACAAUGUAAUUCAUUGUCGAGGCAAUGCCUGUCUCGUGGAGUCAGCAUAGCUUUGCCCAUUUGAAGUCGAAUUUCCAUCUCUUCAAGUUGUUGUCGAGUCCAUCCUGAUUAAAGAGAAAGAUCCAAAGUUUUUGUCGAAGUUGCGCCCAAAAGGCUCAGAUCAAAAAAGGAAAAAGAAAAAUCAAAGUCAAAGUCAAAAGGAAAAUGAAAAAAUCAAAAAUCAAAAUAAAAAAAACAAAAAAAAGAAAGAAGAAAAAAAUCAAAAUGAAAAUGAAAAUGAGAAAAAGAAAGAAGAAUGAAAAAAUAGAAAUCUAGAUGAAAAAAUCAGAAUGAAAAAGAAAAGAAAAAGAAAAGGAGAGGCCAAAGCGAAAACCCGCAAAGGGCACUUUGUGACCAAAUGAGGUUUGAGUUGAAAACCCGAAAAGGGCGACUCAAAUUUCGAGCACAAUGAGGCAUGGACAUCACCAUUAUCGAAGACUUCUAAUGGGCAUUGCUUCAUUUUGAGAGGCUACUUCAUGAGCCAAAGUCAUCGUAUACCGAUACAGAAUUUCAGAGAAGAGGGUAUUGGAGAAUGCAUUGAGCUUAAACAAUAGCACGAUCGCUGAGGUCUGAAAUUAACUCAGAAGUGGACACCACGAUUCGUCACUGAAUGGCCUAGAGUUGAACAUCAAAAAUUGAAGGAAAAUGACUGAGACUUACAAGGAUUGGCAUGAGAAAUUACUAUUUGCCUUCAUUGCUUGACGAACAUCUGUACUGGGGCAAUACCUUUCUCUUUGGUUUGCGGGGUUUAGGUAGUUUUACCUAUUGAAAUCCUCUCCCUUCGGGUAUUAGUUGAGCUAGAAUUGGAUGAAGCAGAAUGGAUCCAAUCGCGAUGCGAUCGGUUGAACCUAGGAAAAAGGUUAAAAGCUAUUCUUCAGGGUCGGAUGUACCGGAAACAAAUGAUACGAACCCAUAAUGAACAGUGUCAUCUCAGAGAAUUCCACGAGAGGGUUGGAUGUCGAAAAAGAUCAUUCCUCUCCAAAAGGAUUCCAGAGGGAAAUAAAUGCCAAACCAGAAUGUCCCUGCGUUGUAAAGAAGACAUUCUUUAGAAGAACACUGAUCCUGAGUGAGAUUGCUAGUCCUAUAAACUCGGAUCCAGUCAAGAAAUACUUCGUUUAAAGAAGGAGAAAGGACCAAGGUGAAAACCCGCAAAGGGCACUCUGAGUCAAAAAAAAAUGAAAAAUGAAAAUAAAAAAUGGAGAGGCUAAGGGGAAAACCCAGAAAGGGCGCCUUAGGCCAAAGGGGAUUUGAGUUGAAAACCCGAAAAGGGCGGCUCAAAUACUUGUUCAGAAUGGGGCAUGAGACGAUCAGAGUGAUUCGAAUUUUGAUUAUAUUGGGGCAUGUGGUGAUCUUGCUAUGCCUGAAUUAACAGGAAAUGAUAAGCGACAUAUUGGGGCAUCGACAAAGCACUGUAGAUCUCCUAAACACAUGCCAAACUCAAAAUGGUCUUCAAAAAGUUUGUACAGAGAAGUUCAAGCUGCGAUAUUUGAGGCACCCAAUUCUCAUAUUAUUUGUUGUUAUUGGAAUACUUUUUUCCUUUCCAAGAUAUACAUUCCCAAUUAAUUUCUUUAUCAUCCUUCUUUACUAUUUUCGAUAAUUUGUUCUUUCGAGCUAUGCUCAGAACCAACUUUAUUCUUAUCCAUUGUUAUGACCUUUUUGCAAACGUGUUGCAUUGGAAUAAUGAUUAAUGGACUAAUAAAACUUUCACAAAAGAAGUUUUGCAUAUUACUCUGGAAAGUUUCUAAAUAUCACAGGAACCUGAAACAGGACGAUUGUUUAGAACACACUAGGUAAAGGUUGGAAAUUUGAGAAGGAAGAGUCUAAAUUUGGACUUUCUCUUUAGAUUUCGUUGUCAAAUGCGUUGAUUGAACAAAAUGAUAAGAUGACGGCUUAACGGCAAAGCUGGAAUGAACAAGCAAGCAAUAAUCAUCAGGCAGUAGGAAGAGGUUACCUCGGAGAAGAGAGCCUUCAUCUGCGCAUAAGUCUUUGGUAUGACACCCUGAGAAUGGUGUAAGAAACCAAAACGAUUUAGGUCAUGUAUCCUCGAUUUGUGAUAAGAUAGGAUUGAGAUAAAAGUCACAUAUUUCUACCCUUGGAUUGCAGUGGGAGAAUGAUGGUACAAAUUUUGGCGUCCCAAUGGAUUGAACUUUGAGGUUUACAGAGGGGGCAACCUGGCCAAAUGUUUCUUCAGAAAAACCAGUCAAGCGAGAAGGCGUUGUAGCACGUCAGUCACAAAGCCUUAAUAAACUUCGAGUAAUGACAACCUAAGCGAGAUCAUUCUCGGAAAAAUAAAAUUCUGUAUUCAUGCAAACACCAUUCACACAUGCCUAGUUAGGAGUAUUUGAUUCAUUUUGAUCAUGUCAUCCUAAUCAUUAGGCAUAAUUAGGUUCAUUAUACAGGUCAUGUUCCCCAGAGAACAGAUCAAUGAAUAUUUCAGAUCUUAUCUCCCUGAGGUUACAGUGGAGCAGAUUGACGCCAGAGAUCUUAUCUCCUUGAGAUUACAGCGAAGCAGAUCGAGGACACUAUCCUAUCUCCCUGAAGUUAUAGUGGAGCGGAUUAAAAUAAAGGAUCCUAUCUCUCUGAAGUUACAGCAGAGCAGGUCACAUAAAGCCUUAUCUUCCUGAAGUUACAGUGGGGCAGGUUGAAUAUGCAAGUCCUAUCUCCCUGAGGUUACAGUGGAGUGGACCGAAGAAUUUCAGAUCUUAUCUCCCUGAGGUUACAGUGGAGCAGAUUGGAGCUAGUAAUCCUAUCUCCUUGAAGUUACAGUGGAGCGGAUUAAAAUAAAGGAUCUCAUCUCUCUGAAGUUACAGUAGAGUAGAUCGCAUCAGGUCUUAUCUCCCUAAGGUUACAGUGGAGUAAACCGAAGAAUUUCAGAUCUUAUCUCCCUGAGGUUACAGUGGAGCAGGUCGAAGAUGGUAGAUCUUAUCUCCCUAAGCAGUAGUGGAGCAGAUCGAAAAUGGCAAAUCUCAUCUUCCUAAGCAAUAGUGAAGCAGAUUUAAGCCACCAGUCUUAUCUCCCUAAACAGUAGUGGAGCAGAUCGCAUCAAGUCUUAUCUCCCUAAGCAGUAGUGGAGCAGACAGAAGAAACCAAUCCUGUCUCCCUGAAGUCACAGUGGAGCAGAUUAAAAACAAAGAUCUUAUCUCUCUGAAGUAGCAGUAGAGCAGAUCGCAUCCAGUCUUAUCUCCCUGAAGUUACAAGAGAGCAGACUAAAACCACAAACAACGUCCCCCUGAAGUUGCGGCAAAGAAGAUUGAAGCUACAAGUCAAAACUCUCUGGAGUGCAGUGGAGUGGAUCGAAGCGGACUGAGAUAAAGCUACUUGAAGAGGAAAAGUGUCAAAAGAAGUCGAACUCGACGAGACCGGGCAAAAUUGGUCUUUCUUAGUCUUUGCUCUGUUCUCGUUACACGACAACGAGCAAAGAGGGGCAGCUGUACAGACCUUAUUUUGCCCGGGCCCAUAUAAACCCUAGCCCGAACCUACCAACCCAAAAAAUUUACUGACCCAAUUACAAUAACAGACCUACAACCCAAAAUUCACAAGCCCAAAUGGCCCAAAGCGUUUGACAUUUUCAGAAUGCCAGAAACCCUAGGGUUUCUGGCGCCGUUCCCCUGCUGCUACCCAUGUGAGCCUUCAGCGAGCACCACGCCCGAGGCCUGCCACCACCAGCCGGCCUUGCACCGAAACGACAAGUUGACCUUGCCAUGUACCUGCAAACAAGUAGCAAAAAGAGAGAAAUGGAAGCAGACUAGAAAAACAGUAGCAAAAGAGGGAAUUUUCCUGCAUUUUUCAUCUUUUCUUUCGGCUAUAAAGCCAAGUAUGUGGUGAAAUGUAAAAGGGGGGAUUUUUGUAAAAAAAAAGACAACACAUUAGCAGAAAGAAAUAAAAGCAAACAAACAGAUUCCAGGUUGUUAUUUACAUCAG